rnacentral:lncRNA from 1 species
ACACUCUUAAGAACGCAGAGAAGUGUGUCACCGAAAGCUCUUUACUUGGAGUGUGGAGAGUAAAAUAAAACCGUUUGUUCUUUGAUAAAAAUCUUUAAAAUAGAAAAGUGAAAAGGAGGAAAGAAGAGAAACCUCAUAGCAGUUUCAAAACUAACAGACAUCCCCCUGGAGUAUUUACGGGUUUAAAGGCACAUGCGUGGGUGUUUUUAGAAGAGCAGGUGAUAUUCAACAAGACGAAGAACAUGGCUGCUUUUCUCUGUUCCCAGAGGACUGGCAGGGUUGUGGCAGCCUGAUGUAUGUGGGCACACAGGAGGAUGCCGUGCUAGGGUCAAUGUUAAGGGAGAUAUUCAUCACAGAGCCUACGCCAGGCAGACUCAGAGUUACCUGAUGUAUGGAGCAUGCUUCGCACCCGAUUUCCUAGAUGACAAAGCACAGAGGCACGGAUUAGGACAAUGUCACUGAUCAAGAUGUGAGCUCUCAGCUUUUCCAGCCACCAUGUCUUUGCUCUGCAAUCAUGAACUCUCUGGAACUGGAAACCCCAAACCACAUGCUUUCUUUUUUAUAAGUUGUCUCGGCCAUGGGGUUUUAUCACAGCAAUAGAACAGAAGCUAAGACAGAGCCCAUGGCCUUUUAUGUGCUAGGGAAGUGCUCUCCCAUUGGCCACACAGUCCCAGGCCAGUGACAUCAUUCUUCAUGAGUUUUCUUGAGACAAAUGUUGACUGAAUCAUCAACUAAGGGAGCUUUUUCUGUGGUAAAGCCAGGUCUUCUGGCACAGUGAUAACUAUUUUAUAAAUACAUCAUAUCUUGUCAUAACUAGAUUGCAGAUGGAGUCCACAGCACAUCGGUGUCAAAUGAGGAAAAUCUUGCAAAUAUUAACUCAUAUCAUCAGUUUUCAAGAUUCAUUAUAGUGGUAUAAGCCAAUCAUCCCAGGACAGGCUCCAUAACAGCCUUUAGAGUAAGACUCUGGGUAAACAAAAAGCUUCACAAGAAGUUCACAUGGCUGUGUGUGGUGGUACAUGCCUGUAAUCUCAGCACUCGGAAGACUGUUGCAAGUUCAAGGCCAGCCUAGUCUACACAGCAAGACCUGUCUUGAUGGGGGUUAGAGGUUAAGGGAAAGAGAGAUGGAACAGAAGACAAAAACCAGUCUUCUUCAUUACCUAUUUUUGCAUAAUUUAUUAUUAAAUAUUGUUAUUGUUAAUAAAGGAUGAUAAAAUGGAGACUUUAGUAAGGUUAAACUAGUAUGUAUGUGUAUAUGUAUAAAUAUAUAUUUACUUUUAAAAAACAUCAUUUGCUAUAUAUAAAGUUACUUAUAAGUACACUUCUAUAAAUAUGUCAUAAUA